CAUGCGUCUCUCACCUGGCCUCCCCUCUCGGCCUCCCCAUGCAUGAUAAUGCAUUGCAUAGCCCAACCAUACCUURUUUUAGCAGAGCUGGAAAAGCUAUCCAGGUGCUGCUGUGCAGGGAGCCUCUGUGAGCAGAGCUCAGCCUAGCAGAGCUCUCCUAUGGUAGGAAUGUUCUGAUGACAGRGACGGGAGAGGAACCGUCUAGCUGGGAAGUUAAAUAUACCGUGACCCRCAGAAAUCCCUUAACUAACAAAACACGCUCAAAGCUCAGCAGAAUUGCCAAUCAGCCUCAUGGAAAAGGAAUUCCUAAUUAACUUUUGUUUUGUGCCCAUGUUACUGUCCUCUUCCCUCCUCCUUUGCUGUGGUAUUUCCAUCGUGGGAAGAUGCUGUACUUCCCAUGAGCUCAGUGGAACUUUUCCUGAGCACUGCCUGGGGUCCUGUCAUCCAUAACAUCUAGCUGUGUUCAUCAAAAAGUAACUCCUAGUUCUGGCCGUGGACCUGCACUCCGGUGUCCCGGGUGCUGUACAAGCAGAGCAAGAGUGGGAUCAGAUGCCAUCACACCAGAGCAGUUGCACUUUAUACCCCUGUCCAUUGACAGUCUUCAGCAAGUGCACGGAAACGCUGAACUGGGCUGUGUGUCCGAGUCUUGAUGUCCCUGGCAGCAAUUCAAGUUAGGAUCCUGUAUCCUCAGCUCCUCACAGGGCCUUUAGGAGUGCAGGGGCUUUGUCAAACAGGAAGCAAACCAUGGUCAAAACCAUACUCAAAACCAUGCUGAAACCAUGCUCUGUGGUUCAGAUUCAAAGUGUGACCUAUAACUUCAUGAACUGAAGGUCCAUCAGAAAAGAACAGGGUGUUGAAUUCCCCUGCUGAGAGCUUCUGUGGUUCAGGAACUUGUGUAGAACAGCCGUGUAAGUGCCAUCAGCUCAUGCACUGUUGCAGACACAGGAGAAGGCUGAAUUGCUGCAGAUAUCCAAAAAAGACUGAGAAGGUGGUGGCUAGGAAAGCAAACAAUAAGCUGGGUAGUUUUUGAGGGAGAAAAGGUAGUUUAAAGAUCGAGACUGACAAGCUGUCUCACAUACUUCCUGACAUUUUGGUAGUAAGGAAAAUGAGUUCAUUUCUGCUUUAAACCUUGGCAGAAAGUGAGUAGUAAUUUGGCACUUAGGUAGAGCUUGAUCUCUACAAAGCACUUUACAAACAUUCAYGUAAGAAGCAUCUCGAUCCCUGGCAGUUAUGAGGAGAUCACCCACUCCGAGCCUAGCUGGAGCUGCUGGUGACCAUCCCUUGGUGACCAUCCCAAGGGAGCUGGGAGCCGACUCAGCAAGGAAGGUGGAUUCCUCCCUGCUCAAAAGUCUUACUUUCAAAGUAGCGUUACUUUCAAAGUAACGAAAGUAGCGUUUCAGGAGUGACCUGAUUGUGUUUACCAGACAGCACUAUUGCACUAGAAAGUCAUUUCCAAUCUGCGUGCAGCCCCUUUAUUUCCUGGCAUGCACGAUCCUGCGCGUGACUGGUUCCCUCCUCUGUGCCGCUGGGACUGGAUCCGGGGGAAUGUGGCUACCUACCCUUCCAGCUGUAUCGGGAGGCAGCCUGGCAUGCGGUUGUUUGCUGUGUUUGCACUCUGCCUGUUAGGCUGCUUCUGAGAAGCCUCGAAUUGCCUUCUGCUAGUGACCCACCUUGCCAWAGACCAAGGCAGGAAAGGUGCAGAAGAACCCUUUCCGUUGAGGUUCUUAUUGCAUCAUAUUAGGGAUAGUCACCAUUUGCCACUCUUGYGUCCUGACAGACCCUUUCCAGUUGCUGCCCCUCACAACCUAACCCCGUGUUCUUUGCAUUUCUGCUCUAAGUUGUCUUUCUGGGGGUCUUCAUCCUCGUAAUUUCUGUGCCGUAGGAGCAUUCGCACAAGCUGGUGUUCCAUUCCAUCCUGGAAGAGCCUAUCUGAAAAGUUAAAACUAAGUGCUAGGAUGUAGCUACCUCUUUGAUUCAYACUGCUACUAUUGCCUACGUUCUCUGCCCUUCCUCCACUGCAAUGUGUCUUUGAAAACGUGGAGCCUCUUCAUUUUUCUUAACCACUUGGCUGCCAGUUGCUACUCUCAAGGUGUGUUGCAGCCACUUUGUGCCUUGUAAUGUCUAGAUGUUCCCUUAAUAUUUCCAUGGGGUGUUGCAUCCCACAGAGGCCGUGCUGCAAGUGCACUUGUGGUGUUCGACACGCUGGUCCUCACCUAAACCACCAACAGUUCACUCRGUUCUUUGGCAUAUCCUCAAAUCACAGUUCAGAGCUCCUGGAUAAAGGAGUGGAGCUGAGGGCAUCCGGCCUCUGGGGGACAGAGACUGGGCUUUGUGCGCCUUAAAAUUAAAGCAUAGUAAACGAAACCUUGUAUUCUGAUGCACCGUGGUCAAAGACUCUUGUGAGGCUUUUACUGUUCCUUCCCCAGCCCUCCAGGUAGGCAGCUCUUGGUUAAGUGUAAGGGUGGGAUGGGGCAGUUGUCCUCACGUGUUUGGUGGUGACAGCAUCAUCAGGCUGCUGUGGAAGGUCAUCCCGAGGCCUUGGAACAUUUGGGGCAAUGCAGGAGGCAUUUGCAGCAGACACACUGGAAUGGGUUUCCAGUCAUUUUCUAUCCUCUUUGAGCUCUUGUCUUGUUUUACUUGAGAGCUGUUGCUUUCUGUGGCRGAUGAGGGUGUCUUGAAAGGUCACAGAAUUGUUGGCACUGAAGUGCUCUUAGAUGCAGGUGCUUUUGCCUCUCUUGUGUCCMGUCAGGAUUUUCCAUGGUCAUUCCCAGCUUCUGCAUUUUCUUAAAGGAAUUUAUUCUUUAAAGUGAACAGGAGUUAUAUGGGAUAUUCUGUUCUGUACAGAGAAAUGAGAUGGGAAAGCUCGUUGUGAGGGUAGAUAUAACAAUCCACCAACUCCAUCUCUGUGCUUUUAGGAUAUUGAAUGCAUUACUGUAGAUUGCACUAACAGCUGAARAUGCCAAACGGGAACGGGGUUUAGAGCUGUUGAUGAACCAAGGAGCUCGAGAAGGAGGAAAGCCCGUGGACGGCCGGGGGAUGCGCUCUUUGGAGCUGAUGUAUUGCCCGGCCUGAAUUAGCGUGUCCUUCCUGCCAAAGGGAACAGAGUAGGGGGCAAAUGAUGGCAAGCCCAGCCAACUACAUUGCYGAGGGAUUCUUUUUGUGGUUAUCACCUCCAAAUAAGCUGCACAUCCCCUGAGUUUCGCUGUGUGUUUGUGAUAAGGGGCUAAUUAGAGGGGCAUUAAACCUCUACUUUCAGCAGUUUUGUUUCUUUCUGGGGUCUUUCUGAUUUGUUCCCGCUCUCACUGCAUGUUGCCCGGCUUUGUGGAGCUUUUCCGUGGUUUUGACUAUUUCUCCUUCCCAUUCUAAAAAUCAUUUUAAUGUUGCUGUGUUCUGCUCUCAGACUGCAUGAUAGGAUCUGUACAUGUCUGCGAGCAUCUUGCUGAUCUGUAAAAUGGCCUCUUGUAAUCURUUCUUCAGUCCUUUGGAUGUUUUCCUCAUGUGUGAUUUUUCUUYUAGUCUGUGGGUGGGCAAGGACCAAUGUUUUCCUUGAACUGCCCACACAGCCACCCAACUAAAUUUAGAGCUUGGAGCAUAGGAGUGAUGAAAAUUUUUCYUUGACAAUGGCCCUGUGUUGAUCACUGCUGAAAUGCAGUUGUUUUGGGUUUGCAGUUUGCCUUUUACAGCCAUCUAUGUAUAGAGAAGCCUGGAAGCAGCUUCGAUCUUAGUUAAAAAUACAUGUCUUGGUCAUCUGCUGGUGUAUCGACAACCUUAUACUUGCCCCCUUUCCUAGAACAGCUGUCACAUCUUUCUGGGAGAAAAACAAGAUAYGGAUCAUCUAUGCAAAGUGUGCCUGGCUUCUUCGGCAGGUUUUACAAGCUGGGCAGAUGUAUUUCCAGAUAUCGUGAAAUUCAUUGGGGCAUCUUAAAACUUAGCUGCUCGUUUGCGAGCUGCCUCCCUGUUUCUGCCAGUGAAUAGAUCAUAUGCACACGUAAGAACUGCCUAUACUUACAAAUGCUGCCUGCUCUAUCCAAGUCCAGCCUAACUGUGACACUGGAAGGCAUUCUAGUCUGCUCUGUCUCAUUUCCACGGUCAACAGAGGCAUUUCUGUAUCUGCCUUGGGAAUCAGCUGAGCUGGAGAUCUGCUGGAUACUGAGUCUCACUGUGUGCUUGUGCAGACCCACAGCUUGGAUAUUCUCUUCUCUCAGCAGUAUGAGAACGCUCUGUCUGCAGCAGCUUUGCUCAGUUUGCAGCCAGGUUAGCCAUGGCAUUCCAUCUCCCUUUUUUUUAAGGAUGAAGGUUGCAAUUACUGCCUGCGUUAAGUCACAUAUGCCAGUAAUUUGCUUAUARAGGGGCUUACAGGGCUUUAAAUGCACUGCAGAAAUACUGGCAGGUAUUUAAAGUAACCCUUAGCAAAAGUAGCAGCCUUGUUUGCUAAAGAAUUCCUUGAGCCUUUUUUGAGUCUGUAGCAGUGCAUUUACAUCUCUCUGCUCAGAUAAGCGGAAUCUGGGAUUCUUUUUGCUGAAAAUCCUUCCAUGCUGUCAUAUACUUGUUAUCCCCUCUUGUGUUUAAAUUAUCCCCAGCUGCAGCUGGAUUUUUGCUGAGAGCUGUUAUAUAAUUGUGCUGCUGCCAGCACACGCACAGGACUGUGAUCCUCUUCUUUCUAAUCAGAAAAGCCUAAGGUGAGUAAAUAUUGGUUGGCUAAAUGCUGCCUUGUUCGAGCUCCGUAGCAACAGAAGGAAUGAGUUACAAAAGGAAAGGGGAGCGAGAGGAAAAUGGAUCAAAUGUUGAGCGUGCCGGACCUGAAAGCUCCAUGUGAAAGCCCAAGGCAGGCUUAACAGGAAUGGCUCUUGUUGCUAUUAGCUUUGGGCAGCAGUGCACGAAGGGGGCACUGCGUCACCCGGGCUUUUUGCACAUCCUUCCUGGAGGYUGUUCAGUACAGAACUGCAGAGCUGGAUUUGGGGAUGAACCACAUGUUUUGUGCCAAAGGGCCCCGCUCCACGCUGCUYCUCCUGCAUGGGGCCC